rnacentral:tmRNA from 1 species
GGGGCUGACUUGGAUUUCGACAGAUUUCUUGUCGCACAGAUAGCAUGCCAAGUGCUGCUUGUAAAACAGCAACAAAAAUAACUGUAAACAACACAGAUUACGCUCCAGCUUACGCUAAAGCUGCGUGAGUUAAUCUCCUUUUGGAGCUGGACUGAUUAGAAUUUCUAGCGUUUUAAUCACUCCAUAACCUUAAGCUAGACGCUUUUAAAAGGUGGUUCGCCUUUUAAACUAAGAAACAAGAACUCUUGAAACUACCUCAAGGUUUUAGAAAGUUGGACCAGAGCUAGUUUUAAGGCUAAAAAACCAACCAAUUUUCUAAGCAUUGUAGAAGUUUGUGUUUAGGGCAAGAUUUUUGGACUGGGGUUCGAUUCCCCACAGCUCCACCA